rnacentral:rRNA from 1 species
UACGAGGGGGGCGAGCGUUGUUCGGAAUUACUGGGCGUAAAGGGCUCGUAGGCGGCCAACUAAGUCAGACGUGAAAUCCCUCGGCUUAACCGGGGAACUGCGUCUGAUACUGGAUGGCUUGAGUUUGGGAGAGGGAUGCGGAAUUCCUGGUGUAGCGGUGGAAUGCGCAGAUAUCAGGAGGAACACCAAUAGCGAAGGCAGCUCGCUGGGACGGUACUGACGCUAAGGCGCGAAAGCGUGGGGAGCGAACAGG